rnacentral:lncRNA from 1 species
AGCAGCCCUUCGAUCUCUGCCAGACACAUCACAGGCUUUGAUCUGCUGCAAAAGGGCAUGGAAAGGAAGCCAAAGCCAGAGGUGGACUACGCCAGCAGAGAGCAAGGGAGCUGCGCUGGGAGCGACAAGAGCUUGGACAGAGUGAACGAUGGAGCAGGGGACAGACCAGGCAGAGGUUCCUUUCCGCACCCAAUUCUAAUGGCGGGAAUUGUCUUUUCCAGGGAGAGGGCGAUAAAGAUGGAAGGCUUGCUGAAGAAGGUGCUAGCAGAGAACCAGCAGCUGAAAAGUGCUGUCCUCUUCCUGAAGCAGCAGAGCAAAGAGAAGGACACUGAUGUGGACAACUGCAGGAGGUCCAAAGAGAAACUUCUGUCAGAAAUCGGCUCCCUCUUGACAGAAAUUGCCUUUCUGAAGGAGGUACGAGAGCAGCUGAGGUACAAGGACCCAGAAUCCAGGAAGGAAACCACCAAGGCCCUUACGGAAACCAUCCAAGCCAAGCUGGAGGUGGCUCACGCGAAGAUCGAGGCGGCGGAGGCCAAGAAGGAGACCUUGGAGGCCCAGAGGAGGGCCGAGGAGGCCAAGGAGUCGGCGGAAGCCGCUCAAGCCCGGGAGGACAGCCUCUUGUCCUACGUCUCCAAAAUCGCCACCCUGGCCUACCAGCAGGCUGCCGAGGCCGAGUAUGACUGCGCCCAGGCCCGGAAGGCGAUGGCCGCGGCAGAGGCCAUCAACGUGGCUGCCUUCAGCGAUGCCCGAGGGCACCGCGGCCACAAGCUCCAGCACGAGAAGCACCACCGGAGCUCCCGGAGCAGCCACAGCGACUGCCGGUGUCACCACCACCACGGCCACCACCACGGCCACCACCACGAGCACCGCAGCCACUACGAGACCCAGAGCAACCAGGCCCACUCCGACCUGGAGACCCUGAGCAGCACCCGAUGAGGGCGGGAGGG